AACGCUGGCGGCGUAGCCUAACACGAUGCAAGUCGAACGAAGCAUCUUGCCCGAGGAAGAGGAGUGCUUGCACAAAUCCGACUCAACUUAGAUGACUUAGUGGCGGACGGGUGAGUAACGCGUGGGUAACCUGCCUUAUACAGGGGGAUAACAGUUAGAAAUGACUGCUAAUACCGCAUAAGCGCACAGCACCGCAUGGUGCAGUGUGAAAAGCCGAGACGGUAUAAGAUGGACCCGCGUCUGAUUAGCCAGUUGGCAGGGUAACGGCCUACCAAAGCAACGAUCAGUAGCCGGCCUGAGAGGGUGAACGGCCACAUUGGGACUGAGACACGGCCCAAACUCCUACGGGAGGCAGCAGUGGGGGAUAUUGCACAAUGGGGGAAACCCUGAUGCAGCCGACGCCGCGUGAGCGAUGAAGUAUUUCGGUAUGUAAAGCUCUAUCAGCAGGGAAGAAAAUGACGGUACCUGACUAAGAAGCUCCGGCUAAAUACGUGCCAGCAGCCGC
rnacentral:rRNA from 1 species